rnacentral:rRNA from 1 species
AAAUUGAAGAGUUUGAUCAUGGCUCAGAUUGAACGCUGGCGGCAGGCCUAACACAUGCAAGUCGAACGGUAACAGGAAGCAGCUUGCUGCUUUGCUGACGAGUGGCGGACGGGUGAGUAAUGUCUGGGAAACUGCCUGAUGGAGGGGGAUAACUACUGGAAACGGUAGCUAAUACCGCAUAACGUCGCAAGACCAAAGAGGGGGACCUUCGGGCCUCUUGCCAUCAGAUGUGCCCAGAUGGGAUUAGCUAGUUGGUGAGGUAACGGCUCACCAAGGCGACGAUCCCUAGCUGGUCUGAGAGGAUGACCAGCCACACUGGAACUGAGACACGGUCCAGACUCCUACGGGAGGCAGCAGUGGGGAAUAUUGCACAAUGGGCGCAAGCCUGAUGCAGCCAUGCCGCGUGUAUGAAGAAGGCCUUCGGGUUGUAAAGUACUUUCAGCGGGGAGGAAGGUGUUGUGGUUAAUAACCGCAGCAAUUGACGUUACCCGCAGAAGAAGCACCGGCUAACUCCGUGCCAGCAGCCGCGGUAAUACGGAGGGUGCAAGCGUUAAUCGGAAUUACUGGGCGUAAAGCGCACGCAGGCGGUCUGUCAAGUCGGAUGUGAAAUCCCCGGGCUCAACCUGGGAACUGCAUUCGAAACUGGCAGGCUUGAGUCUUGUAGAGGGGGGUAGAAUUCCAGGUGUAGCGGUGAAAUGCGUAGAGAUCUGGAGGAAUACCGGUGGCGAAGGCGGCCCCCUGGACAAAGACUGACGCUCAGGUGCGAAAGCGUGGGGAGCAAACAGGAUUAGAUACCCUGGUAGUCCACGCCGUAAACGAUGUCUACUUGGAGGUUGUGCCCUUGAGGCGUGGCUUCCGGAGCUAACGCGUUAAGUAGACCGCCUGGGGAGUACGGCCGCAAGGUUAAAACUCAAAUGAAUUGACGGGGGCCCGCACAAGCGGUGGAGCAUGUGGUUUAAUUCGAUGCAACGCGAAGAACCUUACCUGGUCUUGACAUCCACAGAAGAAUCCAGAGAUGGAUUUGUGCCUUCGGGAACUGUGAGACAGGUGCUGCAUGGCUGUCGUCAGCUCGUGUUGUGAAAUGUUGGGUUAAGUCCCGCAACGAGCGCAACCCUUAUCCUUUGUUGCCAGCGGUCCGGCCGGGAACUCAAAGGAGACUGCCAGUGAUAAACUGGAGGAAGGUGGGGAUGACGUCAAGUCAUCAUGGCCCUUACGACCAGGGCUACACACGUGCUACAAUGGCGCAUACAAAGAGAAGCGACCUCGCGAGAGCAAGCGGACCUCAUAAAGUGCGUCGUAGUCCGGAUUGGAGUCUGCAACUCGACUCCAUGAAGUCGGAAUCGCUAGUAAUCGUGGAUCAGAAUGCCACGGUGAAUACGUUCCCGGGCCUUGUACACACCGCCCGUCACACCAUGGGAGUGGGUUGCAAAAGAAGUAGGUAGCUUAACCUUCGGGAGGGCGCUUACCACUUUGUGAUUCAUGACUGGGGUGAAGUCGUAACAAGGUAACCGUAGGGGAACCUGCGGUUGGAUCACCUCCUUACCUUAAAGAA